rnacentral:rRNA from 1 species
GAUGAACGCUAGCGGCAGGCCUAACACAUGCAAGUCGAGGGGCAGCACAGAAACAGCAAUGUUUUGGUGGCGACCGGCGGACGGGUGCGUAACGCGUAUGCAACCUACCUUUAACAGGGGGAUAACGGAGAGAAAUUUCCACUAAUACCCCAUAACAUCGAUCAAGGCAUCUUGAUUGGUUGAGAACUCCGGUGGUUAAAGAUGGGCAUGCGUUGUAUUAGGUAGUUGGUGAGGUAAUGGCUCACCAAGCCUACGAUACAUAGGGGGACUGAGAGGUAGCCCCCCACACUGGUACUGAGACACGGACCAGACUCCUACGGGAGGCAGCAGUGAGGAAUAUUGGUCAAUGGGGGCAACCCUGAACCAGCCAUGCCGCGUGCAGGAAGACGGCUCUAUGAGUUGUAAACUGCUUUUAAACAGGGAUAAAGCACAGUAUGUAUACUGUGUUGAAGGUACUGUAAGAAUAAGGAUCGGCUAACUCCGUGCCAGCAGCCGCGGUAA